UGGGGAAUAUUGCACAAUGGGGGAAACCCUGAUGCAGCGACGCCGCGUGAGCGAAGAAGGCUUUCGAGUCGUAAAGCUCUGUCCUAUGAGAAGAUAAUGACGGUAUCAUAGGAGGAAGCCCUGGCUAAAUACGUGCCAGCAGCCGCGGUAAUACGUAGGGGGCAAGCGUUAUCCGGAUUCAUUGGGCGUAAAGCGCGCGUAGGCGGUUUGUUAGGUCAGGAGUUAAAUCUGGGGGCUCAACCCCUAUCCGCUCCUGAUACCGGCAGGCUUGAGUCUGGUAGGGGAAGGCGGAAUUCCAAGUGUAGCGGUGAAAUGCGCAGAUAUUUGGAAGAACACCGGUGGCGAAGGCGGCCUUCUGGGCCACGACUGACGCUGAGGCGCGAAAGCUAGGGGAGCGAACAGG
rnacentral:rRNA from 1 species